rnacentral:rRNA from 1 species
UGGCGGCGUGCCUAAUACAUGCAAGUCGAGCGGACCGACGGGAGCUUGCUCCCUUAGGUCAGCGGCGGACGGGUGAGUAACACGUGGGUAACCUGCCUGUAAGACUGGGAUAACUCCGGGAAACCGGGGCUAAUACCGGAUGCUUGAUUGAACCGCAUGGUUCAAUCAUAAAAGGUGGCUUUUAGCUACCACUUGCAGAUGGACCCGCGGCGCAUUAGCUAGUUGGUGAGGUAACGGCUCACCAAGGCGACGAUGCGUAGCCGACCUGAGAGGGUGAUCGGCCACACUGGGACUGAGACACGGCCCAGACUCCUACGGGAGGCAGCAGUAGGGAAUCUUCCGCAAUGGACGAAAGUCUGACGGAGCAACGCCGCGUGAGUGAUGAAGGUUUUCGGAUCGUAAAACUCUGUUGUUAGGGAAGAACAAGUACCGUUCGAAUAGGGCGGCACCUUGACGGUACCUAACCAGAAAGCCACGGCUAACUACGUGCCAGCAGCCGGG